rnacentral:rRNA from 1 species
GGAAAGGCGCGCGAUACAGGGUGACAGCCCCGUACACAAAAAUGCACAUGCUGUGAGCUCGAUGAGUAGGGCGGGACACGUGGUAUCCUGUCUGAAUAUGGGGGGACCAUCCUCCAAGGCUAAAUACUCCUGACUGACCGAUAGUGAACCAGUACCGUGAGGGAAAGGCGAAAAGAACCCCGGCGAGGGGAGUGAAAAAGAACCUGAAACCGUGUACGUACAAGCAGUGGGAGCACGCUUAGGCGUGUGACUGCGUACCUUUUGUAUAAUGGGUCAGCGACUUAUAUUCUGUAGCAAGGUUAACCGAAUAGGGGAGCCGAAGGGAAACCGAGUCUUAACUGGGCGUUAAGUUGCAGGGUAUAGACCCGAAACCCGGUGAUCUAGCCAUGGGCAGGUUGAAGGUUGGGUAACACUAACUGGAGGACCGAACCGACUAAUGUUGAAAAAUUAGCGGAUGACUUGUGGCUGGGGGUGAAAGGCCAAUCAAACCGGGAGAUAGCUGGUUCUCCCCGAAAGCUAUUUAGGUAGCGCCUCGUGAAUUCAUCUCCGGGGGUAGAGCACUGUUUCGGCAAGGGGGUCAUCCCGACUUACCAACCCGAUGCAAACUGCGAAUACCGGAGAAUGUUAUCACGGGAGACACACGGCGGGUGCUAACGUCCGUCGUGAAGAGGGAAACAACCCAGACCGCCAGCUAAGGUCCCAAAGUCAUGGUUAAGUGGGAAACGAUGUGGGAAGGCCCAGACAGCCAGGAUGUUGGCUUAGAAGCAGCCAUCAUUUAAAGAAAGCGUAAUAGCUCACUGGUCGAGUCGGCCUGCGCGGAAGAUGUAACGGGGCUAAACCAUGCACCGAAGCUGCGGCAGCGACGCUGAUGCGUUGUUGGGUAGGGGAGCGUUCUGUAAGCCUGCGAAGGUGUGCUGUGAGGCAUGCUGGAGGUAUCAGAAGUGCGAAUGCUGACAUAAGUAACGAU